AACGAACGCUGGCGGCAGGCUUAACACAUGCAAGUCGAGCGCCCCGCAAGGGGAGCGGCAGACGGGUGAGUAACGCGUGGGAAUCUACCGAGCCCUAAGGAAUAACUCCGGGAAACUGGAACUAAUACCUUAUACGCCCUACGGGGGAAAGAUUUAUCGGGGUUUGAUGAGCCCGCGUUGGAUUAGCUAGUUGGUGGGGUAAAGGCCUACCAAGGCGACGAUCCAUAGCUGGUCUGAGAGGAUGAUCAGCCACAUUGGGACUGAGACACGGCCCAAACUCCUACGGGAGGCAGCAGUGGGGAAUAUUGGACAAUGGGCGCAGGCGUGAUCCAGCCAUGCCGCGUUAGUGAAGAAGGUCUUAGGAUUGUAAAGCUCUUUCACCGAUGAAGAUAAUGACGGUAGUCGGAGAAGAAGCCCCGGCUAACUUCGUGCCAGCGCCGCCGUAAAAC
rnacentral:rRNA from 1 species